AAGCCGGGUUACGGUGCCCAACUGCGCGCUAACCUAGAACCCACAAAGGGUGUUGGUCGAUUAAGACAGCAGGACGGUGGUCAUGGAAGUCGAAAUCCGCUAAGGAGUACGUAACAACUCACCUGCCGAAUCAACUAGCCCCNNNNNNGGAUGGCGCUGAAGCGCGCGACCCACACCCGGCCAUCUGGGCGAGCGCCAUGCCCCGAUG
rnacentral:ncRNA from 1 species